CCUACGGGGCGCACCAGUAGGGAAUCUUCGGCAUUGGGCGAAGGUCUGACCGAGCAACGCCGCGUGAGUGAAGAAGGUUUUCGGAUCGUAAAACUCUGUUGUUAGAGAAGAACAAGUAGGGGAGUAACUGCUCUUACCUUGACGGUAUCUAACCAGAAAGCCACGGCUAACUACGUGCCAGCAGCCGCGGUAAUACGUAGGUGGCAAGCGUUGUCCGGAUUUAUUGGGCGUAAAGCGAGCGCAGGCGGUCUUUUAAGUCUGAUGUGAAAGCCCUCGGCUCAACCGAGGAAGGUCAUUGGAAACUGGAGGACUUGAGUGCAAAAGAGGAGAGUGGAAUUCCAUGUGUAGCGGUGAAAUGCGUAGAUAUAUGGAGGAACACCAGUGGCGAAGGCGACUCUCUGGUCUGUAACUGACGCUGAGGCUCGAAAGCGUGGGGAGCAAACAGGAUUAGAUACCCUUGUAGUC
rnacentral:rRNA from 1 species